rnacentral:snoRNA from 1 species
CGAUGAAGGAAGCAUGGUAAUGUACACGUAAAUAGAUGGUCUCCAUGUCUGCCAGCCUUGAUGCUUUUGGGUUUUGAUUUGGUUGGCCUGGAAUUGACCUAUAUGU